rnacentral:rRNA from 1 species
UUAAGCGACUAAGCGUACACGGUGGAUGCCCUGGCAGUCAGAGGCGAUGAAGGACGUGCUAAUCUGCGAUAAGCGUCGGUAAGGUGAUAUGAACCGUUAUAACCGGCGAUUUCCGAAUGGGGAAACCCAGUGUGAUUCGUCACACUAUCAUUAACUGAAUCCAUAGGUUAAUGAGGCGAACCGGGGGAACUGAAACAUCUAAGUACCCCGAGGAAAAGAAAUCAACCGAGAUUCCCCCAGUAGCGGCGAGCGAACGGGGAGCAGCCCAGAGCCUGAAUCAGUGUGUGUGUUAGUGGAAGCGUCUGGAAAGGCGCGCGAUACAGGGUGACAGCCCCGUAACACAAAAAUGCACAUAUUGUGAGCUCGAUGAGUAGGGCGGGACACGUGGUAUCCUGUCUGAAGUAUGGGGGGACCAUCCUCCAAGGCUAAAUACUCCUGACUGACCGAUAGUGAACCAGUACCGUGAGGGAAAGGCGAAAAGAACCCCGGCGAGGGGAGUGAAAAAGAACCUGAAACCGUGUACGUACAAGCAGUGGGAGCACGCUUAGGCGUGUGACUGCGUACCUUUUGUAUAAUGGGUCAGCGACUUAUAUUCUGUAGCAAGGUUAACCGAAUAGGGGAGCCGAAGGGAAACCGAGUCUUAACUGGGCGUUAAGUUGCAGGGUAUAGACCCGAAACCCGGUGAUCUAGCCAUGGGCAGGUUGAAGGUUGGGUAACACUAACUGGAGGACCGAACCGACUAAUGUUGAAAAAUUAGCGGAUGACUUGUGGCUGGGGGUGAAAGGCCAAUCAAACCGGGAGAUAGCUGGUUCUCCCCGAAAGCUAUUUAGGUAGCGCCUCGUGAAUUCAUCUCCGGGGGUAGAGCACUGUUUCGGCAAGGGGGUCAUCCCGACUUACCAACCCGAUGCAAACUGCGAAUACCGGAGAAUGUUAUCACGGGAGACACACGGCGGGUGCUAACGUCCGUCGUGAAGAGGGAAACAACCCAGACCGCCAGCUAAGGUCCCAAAGUCAUGGUUAAGUGGGAAACGAUGUGGGAAGGCCCAGACAGCCAGGAUGUUGGCUUAGAAGCAGCCAUCAUUUAAAGAAAGCGUAAUAGCUCACUGGUCGAGUCGGCCUGCGCGGAAGAUGUAACGGGGCUAAACCAUGCACCGAAGCUGCGGCAGCGACGCUUAUGCGUUGCUGGGUAGGGGAGCGUUCUGUAAGCCUGUGAAGGUGUGCUGUGAGGCAUGCUGGAGGUAUCAGAAGUGCGAAUGCUGACAUAAGUAACGAUAAAGCGGGUGAAAAGCCCGCUCGCCGGAAGACCAAGGGUUCCUGUCCAACGUUAAUCGGGGCAGGGUGAGUCGACCCCUAAGGCGAGGCCGAAAGGCGUAGUCGAUGGGAAACAGGUUAAUAUUCCUGUACUUGGUGUUACUGCGAAGGGGGGACGGAGAAGGCUAUGUUGGCCGGGCGACGGUUGUCCCGGUUUAAGCGUGUAGGCUGGUUUUUCCAGGCAAAUCCGGAAAAUCAAGGCUGAGGCGUGAUGACGAGGCACUACGGUGCUGAAGCAACAAAUGCCCUGCUUCCAGGAAAAGCCUCUAAGCAUCAGGUAACAUCAAAUCGUACCCCAAACCGACACAGGUGGUCAGGUAGAGAAUACCAAGGCGCUUGAGAGAACUCGGGUGAAGGAACUAGGCAAAAUGGUGCCGUAACUUCGGGAGAAGGCACGCUGAUAUGUAGGUGAAGUCACUCGCGUGGAGCUGAAAUCAGUCGAAGAUACCAGCUGGCUGCAACUGUUUAUUAAAAACACAGCACUGUGCAAACACGAAAGUGGACGUAUACGGUGUGACGCCUGCCCGGUGCCGGAAGGUUAAUUGAUGGGGUCAGCGCAAGCGAAGCUCUUGAUCGAAGCCCCGGUAAACGGCGGCCGUAACUAUAACGGUCCUAAGGUAGCGAAAUUCCUUGUCGGGUAAGUUCCGACCUGCACGAAUGGCGUAAUGAUGGCCAGGCUGUCUCCACCCGAGACUCAGUGAAAUUGAACUCGCUGUGAAGAUGCAGUGUACCCGCGGCAAGACGGAAAGACCCCGUGAACCUUUACUAUAGCUUGACACUGAACAUUGAGCCUUGAUGUGUAGGAUAGGUGGGAGGCUUUGAAGUGUGGACGCCAGUCUGCAUGGAGCCGACCUUGAAAUACCACCCUUUAAUGUUUGAUGUUCUAACGUUGACCCGUAAUCCGGGUUGCGGACAGUGUCUGGUGGGUAGUUUGACUGGGGCGGUCUCCUCCUAAAGAGUAACGGAGGAGCACGAAGGUUGGCUAAUCCUGGUCGGACAUCAGGAGGUUAGUGCAAUGGCAUAAGCCAGCUUGACUGCGAGCGUGACGGCGCGAGCAGGUGCGAAAGCAGGUCAUAGUGAUCCGGUGGUUCUGAAUGGAAGGGCCAUCGCUCAACGGAUAAAAGGUACUCCGGGGAUAACAGGCUGAUACCGCCCAAGAGUUCAUAUCGACGGCGGUGUUUGGCACCUCGAUGUCGGCUCAUCACAUCCUGGGGCUGAAGUAGGUCCCAAGGGUAUGGCUGUUCGCCAUUUAAAGUGGUACGCGAGCUGGGUUUAGAACGUCGUGAGACAGUUCGGUCCCUAUCUGCCGUGGGCGCUGGAGAACUGAGGGGGGCUGCUCCUAGUACGAGAGGACCGGAGUGGACGCAUCACUGGUGUUCGGGUUGUCAUGCCAAUGGCACUGCCCGGUAGCUAAAUGCGGAAGAGAUAAGUGCUGAAAGCAUCUAAGCACGAAACUUGCCCCGAGAUGAGUUCUCCCUGACUCCUUGAGAGUCCUGAAGGAACGUUGAAGACGACGACGUUGAUAGGCCGGGUGUGUAAGCGCAGCGAUGCGUUGAGCUAACCGGUACUAAUGAACCGUGAGGCUUAACCUU